rnacentral:misc_RNA from 1 species
AACUGAUACUACCUGCGGGAACCUGCGGAAGGAUCAUUACCGAGUGCGGGCCCUCUGGGUCCAACCUCCCAUCCGUGUCUCUUGUACCCUGUUGCUUCGGCGGGCCCGCCUUCAUGGCCGCCGGGGGGCUUCUGCCCCCGGGCCCGCGCCCGCCGGAGACUCCAACAUUGAACACUGUCUGAAGGUUGCAGUCUGAGUUUUCAUAUAAGAAAAAUCGUUAAAACUUUUAACAAUGGAUCU